rnacentral:rRNA from 1 species
GACGAACGCUGGCGGCGUGCUUAACACAUGCAAGUCGAACGGAAAGGCCCUGCUUUUGUGGGGUGCUCGAGUGGCGAACGGGUGAGUAACACGUGAGUAACCUGCCCUUGACUUUGGGAUAACUUCAGGAAACUGGGGCUAAUACCGGAUAGGAGCUCCUGCUGCAUGGUGGGGGUUGGAAAGUUUCGGCGGUUGGGGCUGGACUCGCGGCUUAUCAGCUUGUUGGUGGGGUAGUGGCUUACCAAGGCUUUGACGGGUAGCCGGCCUGAGAGGGUGACCGGCCACAUUGGGACUGCGAUACGGCCCAGACUGCUACGGGAGGCAGCAGUGGGGAAUAUUGCACAAUGGGCGGAAGCCUGAUGCAGAAACGCCGCGUGCGGGAUGACGGCCUUCGGGUUGUAAACCGAUUUCGCCUGUGACGAAGCGUGAGUGACGGUAAUGGGUAAAGAAGCACCGGCUAACUACGUG